UAAUACGGAGGGUGCAAGCGUUAAUCGGAAUUACUGGGCGUAAAGCGCGCGUAGGCGGUUGUUUAAGUCGGAUGUGAAAGCCCCGGGCUCAACCUGGGAACUGCAUUCGAUACUGGGCGACUAGAGUAUGAAAGAGGGAGGUAGAAUUCCAUGUGUAGCGGUGAAAUGCGUAGAUAUAUGGAGGAAUACCAGUGGCGAAGGCGGCCUCCUGGUUCAAUACUGACGCUGAGGUGCGAAAGCGUGGGGAUCAAACAGGAUUAGAUACCCUGGUAGUCCACGCCGUAAACGAUGUCUACUAGCCGUUGGGAGACUUGAUUUCUUAGUGGCGCAGCUAACGCAAUAAGUAGACCGCCUGGGGAGUACGGCCGCAAGGUUA
rnacentral:rRNA from 1 species